GCUCACCGAAGCCUUCAACAGCCCUCCCGAACUUUCCUGUUUGCACUCGUCUCUAACCUCCCCCAAUUCCAGCCGCCGCUUCCUCCUGGCCCCAUCACCAACCUCCACCCGUGCCCCGUCGCCGACACACGCUUCCUCCCUCACCGCCGCGGUGUUUCCUCCCCCGCCGCCCGGUGCUUCCUUCCCCGCCGCUGUGGCCCUUCCUCCCCCGCACCCCCACCAUCGCCGGCAUCCUCGCUCCCCUGCUCCACCAUCGCCGCGGCAACCUCCCCAGAUCUCUAAAACCGCCACAGCCGCACCCCGCCUCCUCCACCCUCGCCGUAGUUCCACCUCCCCAGCCGCCAAAGCGCCACCUCCCAAGGCGCCUCUCUCCUCCAGCCCUGACGCGCGCGACCCACCGGGCGCCGCACGUGCAUCUUCGCUGCUCCGCUUCCCGGCUGCCGGCGAGUCAUCCGCCACGCUCCCCCGACACCAGCGAGCCAUCCGCCCCGGCCCGGUCCCCAGUCGAAACCCAGGACCCCCGUUUCUCCUCCCUCCAUCCGGCCUUCCGUCUGCUCGUGGCCGGGCGCCUCUGUCCUCCUGUCCGGCUGCUGUAGGGGAAGAUUUCAGAUGCUGAUAUUCAGCGUAUUGCCAAAAGAGUUGGGUGAACAAAUGCACUCUCCAAAUGACAUCCAAGAAAAUAUUUUCAAGAGGCGGAACAAAAUAUGGUUGGCCAUGCUCGAUCCGACCAAGAGGAGCAGCAGUAGUAGGUACUGGUGCAGAUUAGGGUGUGUGGUGAUGCGAGGAGAAGCCUGUGCACCAUUGCCACUGGCCUCCUCUAGCUUCGUCGAUGGCUACUUCCUUCUUAUUGCUAGUACAGAAAAGAAUGAACUACGGGUUGCUUCUGCCUCAUGACCAAAGUGCAUGCAUUUUUCUCUAAACCGCUUCCUUUCUUCUUGCAGACUCCUUCCUCUGAACCAAGUACUGCUAUUCUUGCCUUUAUGUACUCACCAAAAACAAAAUCAAAAGUGAGAGAAUAGUGCUCGGUUGUGAUACGAUAAGAAAUGUGCAGUGGUGAGAGGAUAGAGGAAAAAGGACACACACUGCUAUAGAGAAACCAACUUGUGGUGAAUACUUGUUUGAUUAUGUUUGCUAGUACGUAACAAAAUAGUAGUUCACACUUCAGGGCGAGGUGGAUUUGGACUUCAGCGGCAGUACAAAGAGCACUUCGGGAGCACGUGGUGGGCUCAGAAAAACUCGUCCCCGACCACAACGGCGCGAGGAGGCCGAGCUUCUCUACCAUGGUCGUGCUCUUUUUUUGGUUGAGCUUCCAUGCUCUUUAACAAAUAAAUUCAAAUAUAAUGAAUCAUAUGUGUUCCUCUCCC